rnacentral:rRNA from 1 species
GAUGAACGCUGGCGGUGUGCCUAAUACAUGCAAGUCGAGCGAACAGACGAGGAGCUUACUCCUCUGACGUUAGCGGCGGACGGGUGAGUAACACGUGGAUAACCUACCUAUAAGACUGGGAUAACUUCGGGAAACCGGAGCUAAUACCGGAUAACAUGUUGAACCGCAUGGUUCAACAGUGAAAGACGGUCUUGCUGUCACUUAUAGAUGGAUCCGCGUCGCAUUAGCUAGUUGGUAAGGUAACGGCUUACCAAGGCAACGAUGCGUAGCCGACCUGAGAGGGUGAUCGGCGACACUGGAGCUGGGACACGGUCCAGAGUCCUACGGGAGGCAGCAGUAGGGAAUCUUCCGCAAUGGGCGAAAGCCUGACGGAGCAACGCCGCGUGAGUGAAGAAGGUCUUCGGAUCGUAAAACUCUGUUAUUAGGGAAGAACAAAUGUGUAAGUAACUAUACACGUCUUGACGGUACCUAAUCAGAAAGCCACGGCUAACUACGUG